CACAUUGUGACAUCAUUAUUAUAUGACACAUGUCUUCUUUAAGUUGAGCCGGCCCUUACCUCCCUUACCUCAUACUCAUAGAAGUCACCAUGGCCUGCCAUGGCUGUUUUAAUCGGUUGCUACUAACUGUAAAUUUGUUCUUUCAGGGUGAACUACUAUCAUAGUCAGUAUUUCAGUAAUACGUAGCUUCACGGUGAGGCCUACUUCAGCUUCUGGUAUAAUUCCCCUUACGGGAUCAUAUCGACUUCUAUUUUAGGUCUUGGCCCCCUACAUGGUUAAGUGUUGACUGGUACAGUCAUGUCAAG